UACUGGCUCAGGAUGAACGCUGGCGGCGUGCCUAACACAUGCAAGUCGAGCGGAGAUAGACACCGGAUGAAGAUUAUCGGAUUCCACCGUUAUCUUAGCGGCGGAUGGGUGAGUAACGCGUGGACAACCUGCCCCUGGCUGGGGGAUAACAACCGGAAACGGGUGCUAAUACCGCAUGGGCGCGGAGGACCGCAUGGUCCUGAGCGUAAAGAUUAUAUCGGCCAGGGAUGGAUCCGCGUCGGAUUAACUAGUUGGCGGGGUAACGGCCCACCAAGGUGAUGAUCCGUAGCCGGCCUGAGAGGGCGACCGGCCACAUUGGGACUGAGACACGGCCCAAACUCCUACGGGAGGCAGCAGUGGGGGAUAUUGCACAAUGGGCGCAAGCCUGAUGCAGCCGACGCCGCGUGAGCGAAGAAGUGCUUCGGCAUGUAAAGCUCUAUCGGUGGGGAAGAAGAUGACGGUACCCACAGAAGAAGCCCCGGCUAACUACGUGCCAGCAGCCGC
rnacentral:rRNA from 1 species